rnacentral:rRNA from 1 species
UCCUUAAAUUCAAAGAAUUUGGCGGUAUUUUAGUCUUGUUAGAGGAACCUGUUUUAUAAACGAUACAACACGUAAUAUCUUACUAAUUUUUGUUUAGCAGUUUGUAUACCGUCAUUAUUAGAUAACUUUUAUAGGAUAAGUUAUUAUAAUUAAAUACUUAAAUAUAUUAGAUCAAGGUGCAGCUAAUAAAUUAGAAAAAAUGGGUUACAAUGAAAUUUAUUUAGAACGAAUCAAUAUUUGAAAGUGAUAUUGUGAAGGGGGAUUUAAUUGUAAUUAAAAAUUUAAUAGGGUUUAGUGAUAUAAGUACUAAAUUAUGUACAUAUCGCCCGUCGCU